AUUGAACGCUGGCGGCAUGCCUUACACAUGCAAGUCGAACGGCAGCACGGGAGCAAUCCUGGUGGCGAGUGGCGAACGGGUGAGUAAUACAUCGGAACGUGCCCAAUCGUGGGGGAUAACGCAGCGAAAGCUGUGCUAAUACCGCAUACGAUCUACGGAUGAAAGCAGGGGAUCGCAAGACCUUGCGCGAAUGGAGCGGCCGAUGGCAGAUUAGGUAGUUGGUGAGGUAAAGGCUCACCAAGCCGUCGAUCUGUAGCUGGUCUGAGAGGACGACCAGCCACACUGGGACUGAGACACGGCCCAGACUCCUACGGGAGGCAGCAGUGGGGAAUUUUGGACAAUGGGCGAAAGCCUGAUCCAGCCAUGCCGCGUGCAGGAUGAAGGCCUUCGGGUUGUAAACUGCUUUUGUACGGAACGAAACGGCCUUUUCUAAUAAAGAGGGCUAAUGACGGUACCGUAAGAAUAAGCACCGGCUAACUACGUGCCAGCAGCCGCGGUAAUACGUAGGGUGCAAGCGUUAAUCGGAAUUACUGGGCGUAAAAGCGUGCGCAGGCGGUUAUGUAAGACAGUUGUGAAAUCUCCGGGCUCAACCUGGGAACUGCAUCUGUGACUGCAUAGCUAGAGUACGGUAGAGGGGGAUGGAAUUCCGCGUGUAUCAGUGAAAUGCGUAGAUAUGC
rnacentral:rRNA from 1 species